AAUAUUGGACAAUGGGGGGAACCCUGAUCCAGCCCUGCCGCGUGUGUGAAGAAGGUCUUCGCAGUUUAAAGCACUUUAAGUUGGGAGGCAGAGUUUUAGGCUAUUACCUUUCAAUUUUGACGUUACCACUAGAAUACACACCGCCUAACUUCUCGCCAGCAGCCGCGGUAAUACGAAGGGUGCAAGCGUUAAUCGGAAUUACUGGGCGUAAAGGGCGCGUAGGUGGUUCGUUAAGUUGGAAGUGAAAGCCCCGGGCUUAACCGGGGAAUUGCUUUCAAAACUGACGAGCUAGAGUACGGUAGAGGGUAGUGGAAUUUCCUGUGUAGCGGUGAAAUGCGUAGAGAUAGGAAGGAACAUCAGUGGCGAAGGCGACUACCUGGACUGAUACUGACACUGAGGUGCGAAAGCGUGGGGAGCAAACAGG
rnacentral:rRNA from 1 species